AGCCCGCCGCGGGGAAGCGAGCCCGGGCGCCGGCGGGCGGCCGUCGCGUCUGACAGACCACUGCAGACCACGGGCCGAGGCCCAGCGCCCGUCCGCAGCGCGGCCGGCAUGGCGGCGCCAAGGAGCCCCACGCGGGCAAGGGAGCGGGAGCGGUCUCGAGCUCCUGCCGCAGGAAGUGACCAAGUUCACUCCUGGACGCUAGCUACAAGCCAAGCCUUAGACACUGUCUGGAGAAUGGCAAAAGGCUUUGUGAUGUUGGCAGUUUCAUUUCUGGUGGCUGCUGUCUGCUACUUCCGGAGGCUACAUUUAUAUUCAGGGCACAAGCUGAAAUGGUGGAUUGGAUAUCUGCAGAGAAAAUUCAAAAGGAACCUCAGUGUGGAGGCAGAGGUUGAUUUACUCAGUUAUUGUGCAAGAGAAUGGAAAGGAGAGACACCCCGUAACAAGCUGAUGAGGAAGGCUUAUGAGGAGCUAUUUUGGCGGCAUCACAUUAAAUGUGUUCGACAAGUGAGGAGAGAUAACUAUGAUGCUCUCAGAUCGGUGUUAUUUCAGAUAUUCAGCCAGGGCAUCUCUUUUCCAUCAUGGAUGAAAGAAAAGGACAUUGUUAAGCUUCCUGAAAAACUGCUGUUUUCACAAGGUUGUAAUUGGAUUCAGCAAUACAGUUUUGGUCCUGAGAAGUAUACAGGUUCGAAUGUGUUUGGAAAAUUACGGAAAUGUGUGGAAUUACUGAAAACACAGUGGACUGAAUUUAAUGGAAUUAGAGAUUAUCACAAGAGAGGAAGUAUGUGCAACACCCUUUUUUCAGAUGCCAUUCUGGAAUAUAAACUUUAUGAAGCUUUAAAGUUCAUCAUGCUGUAUCAAGUCACUGAAGUUUAUGAACAAAUGAAGACUAAAAAGGCCAUUCCCAGUCUUUUUAGACUCCUGUUUUCCAGGGAGACAUCCUCUGAUCCUUUGAGCUUCAUGAUGAAUCACCUGAAUUCUGUAGGCGACACGUGUGGACUAGAGCAGAUUGAUAUGUUUAUACUUGGAUACUCCCUUGAAGUAAAGAUAAAAGUGUUCAGGCUGUUCAAGUUUAACUCCAGAGACUUUGAAGUCUGCUACCCAGAGGAGCCUCUCAGGGACUGGCCGGAGAUCUCCCUGCUGACCGAGAACGACCGCAACUACCACAUUCCAGUCUUUUAAGUCCGCUGGGGGCUGAACAGCAGUGCUCACCAGUGACAGUGGUCACAGUUGCAAGUAAAGUAUCUCUCUGAAACCAAAGCUAGCAUUUCAGCAUGGAAGGAAUUAGGACCUUUUCUCCAGGAUUACAGGCCAAGAAAAUGAAAGCUCAUUUGGAUUAUAUUUAUGCUUAAUAUCAACAUGGUUUAUAAGUGGACAGAAAAACACUCACUCACGUAUUCAGCCACCUAUGGUCUGGAGUGGUCUGUAGAACAGCCCGAAGUGUACACCAUGUCUCUGCACUUGAAGCUCAUGGAAUGUGUUGGAGGAGACUCGAGCUCCAUGUGGGAACAGUGUGGACCAAGAGCCAGCAUGGAGGAGGGCUGUGUGAGCAGACUGCUGUAGAAUGCUAAAGUUAUAAUCCUAGCUGGUGUCUUGUUCUGUUUAAAAAAAUCAAAUUUCUGUAUUUAAUUGACGUAUUGAUCCUUAUAGUCAGUACCAUCAGGUCUUAGAUUGUUAAGUCAUUUUGCUGCCACCAGACUAGUGACAGUCACUCACUUAUUUGUAAUGAUUCUUGGGAAGUUUAGUCGAGAGAAUAUCCUUGAAUAAAGAAGUACAUGUUUUAAGUAUUUUCAUCGUAGUCUAGAUGGGUUGUUAAACCCAUUUCCACACGAGUAUAAACUUAAAACAGAAACAUGAAGGUGUCAGCAAUCAUGAUUUUGUUUUGCUUGUUCACAAGUUUGAAAAGGUGCAUGAGGCACCAAUCAGUGACACUGGAAUGCUUUAAGGAUGGUUUCUGACUUUACCCCAUUGUGCCUUAUCAUUUGUCAGCAAACUUACUGGGCCAAACACAAAUGGCUGAGACACUCCUGGCCCCAUUUCUUGUCAUCGCUGCCAUCCCCAAAGACAGACUCUGGGAAACAACUUGGGAACUGCUUCAAGUAGAUGUCAGGUCAUGGCUUCGUCCGCUGCCCAGCACGUACCUGGACUUCCUUUGGGUGCUGGCUUUUCUGCUGGACUAAGAGAUUCAUGGAAAGAACCCCAGGGCAAGGUGAGGAGAAGCAGCUGGUACAGACUGAUGACAAAGGAGAGGACCAGAAAAGCUGCUUGGGUGUGGUGGAAGUUUCAGUGUAAUGUGAUUCCUAGUAGGCACAUCUGUGACUCCCUUAAAUAAAAAGAGGCAGAGAUGAGGGGAUGCCUGGUGAAAAUGGUGUUUGUUGUAACAUGUUGGUAUCAUUGUGGGUAAGUAGAACAGACAAAUAUUUACAUCUCUUAUGAAAAGCUACCUUUAGCCAUAAACAUUAAAAGAAGACUCAGCCCUGGAGUAUAUCUGAUCUAUGGUUAACUCAUCUAUCAGCAAAUGGUUAAGUAAGUAAAAUUAAUUUUUCCAUUUGGUGUGUAUUUCACAGGGUAACAAUGAAGUGCUCCAAUCUGCUUGUGAGACCAGUUAGAUUAGUAGUGCAUUUGGGACCAUUCCUCCUGUAUGUCUUUACAAGCAAAUUGAAAUGAUGUGCUCUUCUUUGUACUAUAUGGAAGGACACACCACAGAUCCUUUUUAAAGCAGGUAAUAAAGUAGCUUUUUCCUUUUGAAA